AGUAGGCUGGGCAAAUGCUGCAACAAUCGAUAUUGUUUACGAUUUAUUGCACAUGAUGGGUCGCGAUGACAUUCCAGUUGGUCUAGGAGAGGUAUUUGCAAUGAACCAGUCUGAUCCUGUUUUCUCUGCGGUUGGAGACUGCAAGUACCUUAAGGCCAUCCCUCACGGGAGUGGUGGACUUUUAGACUCGGACACUCUCUAUGGGCUUGCUCGUGAUUUACCGCGAAGCCCUAGAAGGUAUAAUUUCCCUCCAUAGAUGUUUAUGCCUUUUCUUUCCUCUUAUUUGAACCGUGAUCUUGCUUUAUUCGGGACUCAAAUAUCGAGGGCUUAUUUUUCUUCUCAAGGUAUACUGCAGAAAACUCUGUAAAAUAUGGAGCUCCUCGCGACACAGAUCACCCUGAGCUCAGGCAGCCUCUAGCACUGGAAAUCUGGGAUUCCAUUGUAAGAACAUUGGAUCCAGGAUCCAAGAUUACCAUAUUGACCAAUGGCCCCUUGACCAGUUUAGCCAAGAUAAUACAGAAUGAGAAUAACACAAGCUCUGUGAUUCAGGUAAGUGGACUUUAUCUGCUAUUUUCAAGUAACUUGCAACUAAUGUUGUGCCACGCAGUGGCGGUACACAUGCUCAUGAUGUUUCAAAUGUCAUCGCAGGAUGUUUAUGUUGUUGGAGGACAUAUCAGCCAUAGUGAUACAGACAAAGGAAAUGUUUUGACUAUUGAUAGUAAUGAGUAUACAGAACUAAAUAUGUUUCUUGAUCCCUUGGCUGCUAAGACAGUUUUCGAGUCAUCACUUGACAUUACGCUCAUUCCACUCGGCGUCCAACGUAGAGUCAGUUCCUUUCCUAAGAUCCUAAGAAGUUUACGCAGCAAGACGAAAAGAACACCUGAGGAAUUGUUUGUGCGGCGUUUGCUAUCAAGGCUUUACCGCCUGAAAGAAACUCAUCACAGAUAUCAUCACAUGGUAAGGAUUCUAAUCUUAGCCUGAAGGCAAGCACCAUUAUAUUGGUUAUAGAUAGUAGUAACUGGAUCAUUUCAUAGACUUUCUGAACAUUGAAGGGCUUAAAUUUGUUUGCUAAGAGACUAUAGUUGUAUCCGGGGAGUAUGCUUGAUCCUUCUCUAAAGGAGAGAGUCUUUUAGCUGCCACUACUGAAUGAGCUUGCUCUGCAGGAUACAUUCUUGGGCGAAAUCCUUGGUGCAGUCGUCUUAGCUGGGGAUCAUUCCAAGCUUGAGCCAAUCUGGCUAGCCAAACCUAUCACGAUCCUUGCUGAAGGUGAUGAAUCGAAAGAUGGACAAGUUGUGAUUGAUGAAAAACAAGGAAAAUUUGUCAAGAUAUUGGAGAGUGUAGAGCCUGAGGCACAUUAUGAUCUUUUCGCAAAGCAACUCACCGUUAAGAAGCAAUCUGCUGUCGUUGGAAGCUUUGGUGAACAGAGAAGAAUUUGGGGUGCGCCACCAAAUUGAAUCAGAGGGGUCUGCUUACUGAUACAUUGGUGUGAACAUUAUACCCUGACAGCAGUAAAUGAUUUUUUAUUUUUAAUACUGUUAUUAGUGGAGGAUUUCACUGGAUCAAUCAUAUUUCCUGCAAGAAUAAUUCUUUCUGUUUUGUACUUAGCACAUUGAAAGAGAAACAAAAAAAAGGUAGCUUAUAUAGUAGAAAAUUGAAGGUAUACAUUGAAAAAAGGGGUGCUUUCUUUUGUCGGAGCAAAAAAGUAUUUUAAACCUGUGAAUUCGCAUUUGGAAACUAUGUGUUCUAAGUUUUAAAUCAAGAUUUUGAUGAAUGUCUUUGAAAUCUUCUUAUAGGAUGAACUUUCAAACGGCACAAUAGCUAAAAAGACUAUUUUCUUCUUCCCCCUUCUCUACUCAGAUUUUACCUGCUUGCUAUUUCAUAUUAUGAUGUUUGUGCACGUAUCCAGUGCUUGGAAUUUGGAAAAUAUCUUUAGUGACGAAGCUAGAUUCUUUUUUUUUUCUUUUUUCUUUUUUGAGAAAUGGGGCAAAUCUAUUCUAAGGUAAAAACUGGAAAAAAUAUAUUUUAUCCAUAUAUAUAUAUAUAUAUAAAUAUAUUUUAUCCAUAUAUAUAUAUAUAUAUAUAUAUUAUUGCUUUGAAUUAUUUGUUGGGGUUUGACCACACUCCCAAAUACAAAUGUAUCCCUGCGAUUAUUUUUAAAAUAAAUUUAGUAUCGGUUGACUAACGCAAGGCAAUCCAAGAUAUCUCUUACCAGAAAUCAAGGAGGGAGGAAAAAUAGCGCUAAAUAUGGCGGAGAAAAAAUUAAUGCACGCAUCUUUGAAAAAGGAAGGUGCAUGCAUGGUAGGAAGAUGUUUAAUUACAUAAAUUCUUUAGAACAAAAUCGGAUAUCUGUAGCCAUCAUAAUUACUGAGAAAUCUAUCAAAACGCCUAUAUAUAGCGAUCUAGUCUCCCUAGUCUCUUGUUUGUUUUUCAAAGAAUGGAACUUGAUCAGUAAAAUAUAUCGUGAAUCGGAGGAGAGAAAAUGAUCCAGCAGAAGAAUCUCUGGGUGCUCUUAGCAUUGAUUAAUACUAUAGGACUUGUUGGAUUUAAUCAUCUGUGCCAUGCAGAGGGAAAGGCACACCGUAUUCUUUUGGACACAGAUGUCGAUACUGAUGAUGUCUUCGCUCUUUUCUACCUCUUGAAGCUCAACAGAUCACGAUUUGGAUUGGAGGUCAGUCUGUCAAUUGAUCAAGUAUGUGUUUAACAAAUUACAUCAAUCGAGUCUGCUUUGAUCAUCAGUCUGCUCUAUGCUUGCUCCAGGCAGUCACUGUGAACACGAACUCAUGGACAGAUGCAGGGCAUGGUGUGAGCCAAAUCUAUGACAUUCUUUACAUGAUGGGCCGUGACGAUGUGUCUGUUGGGAUGGGAGGUGAGGGUGGAAUAGCAGAAGAUGGCCACAUAUUCCCAGAUGUUGGUGGUUUUCUUCCUAUAGUUGAACAGGUCGGUCUUCAACUGUGCCCCCCUCAUGAUCUUCUGCUAGAUUUCACUGCAAUUUUUACUAUUCUUUCGUUGUCUCUGAAUUUAUGGACUCAAUGAUACCUGAGGCUGUAUGAUAUUAAUCAGGGGAAAUCAACAGCAGGAGGUUGUAGAUACAGACAAGCUAUUCCUGUUGGUCCUAGAGGACGGCUGGAUCUUGAUUCUAACUACGGCUUACGGAGAGCAUUUCUGCCACAGGUACAGAAUUAGUCAGAGCCCAUUUGAAAUUGCGGCGCGCUGCGGCAUGAAAAUCAUAUAUCGUAAUCUUAAACAAACAUUAGCCGAGUUUGCUUCUGGUAUAGACAUGGGAUUUUGUUUUCCUAUAUACUUUACUGAUGGAAAUAAUUGAAUGAAAUAAAUAAACAAAUCAUUUUUAGCUGCCUUCUGAAAAUCAUAAUCAAUAUUUAGUAAAUGACUUUAAUGAUAUUGAUUUUUAUGAUAUUAUUAAAUUUAAUUUCUUAAUUCAUAUAUGACUUGUUUAUUUAUGGAACUAAUCAAAUAAAAUUCAAUUAAUAAAGGAAACAAGUUAAUUAUUUUAUUUAUGAAUAUAAUUGAAAUAUUUCUUAAAUAAAUUAUUUGUUUAUUUGUUUAUUCUUUAUUGAAAUUCAAUAUAAUUGUUAUUUCUACGACUUGAGAAUAGCAAAUUAAUUUUAUUUUUGAGAAAUAAUUAUAAAAUAAACUAAUUAGUUCUUAAAAUGAACAAAAGAAUUAGUUCUUUUUUUUAUAUAAAAUUUUGUUGAUAAAUUAACCAGGGCAGCAGGAAAUAUUCUCCUCUUGAACAGCCAACCGCCCAACAAGUGCUGACAGAAAAGAUAUCUGCAGGUCCUAUUACUGUUUUAAUUACAGGAGCUCAUACAAAUAUUGGCGUUUUUCUUAUGAACAAUCCACAUCUGAAGAACAACAUUGAGCAUAUAUACGCGAUGGGUGGGGCCGUGAGGUCAGACGGCAAUCUGUUUGCAGACCUCUAUAGUAAUCCUUAUGCUGAAUUUAAUAUAUUUGCAGAUCCUUUUGCUGCAUACCAGGUAUUUAAUUAAUUAAUAAGCAAAAACAAAUAUAUAUAUAUAUAUAUAUAUAUAUUAGCUAGGUAAUAAAUAAGAAUUGUUGCCUGUGAUUAUUAAUGGAGAGUACGCAGAUUUGCUUCUAGGUUUUACAUUCUGGAAUUCCUCUCACCCUUGUGCCCCUCGAUGCAACCAAUACCAUUCCUACAAAUGAGAAUUUCUUCAAGGCAUUUGAGCAGAACCAGCACACCUACGAGGCACAAUACUGCUUCCGGUCCUUGAAAAUGACUCGUGACACUCGGACUGACGACCACUUUUACACUGUAAUCCUUCCGUAUCUUCCUUUUCGUUUUGUUCUUCUUCUUCAAGAUUCCUCAGCAGCAAGUGACAGUUUCCUUUUUACGAUUGUCGAUGGGAUGUGUGUUUCAGUGACUGACAAGAUUUUUUGCAGAGCCAUUACAUGUGGGACACCUUCGCAGCUGGUGUAGCAGUUUCUACCAUGCGUAACUCGCAAAACCGAGAUGGAGAAAAUGAAUUUGCUGAAAUGGAGUACAUGAACAUAACAGUAGUGACUUCAAAUGAACCUUUUGGGAUAAGUGAUAGCUCGAAUCCAUUCUUUUACCACCGUGAAGUCCCAAGGUUUAAUCUAACGAAAGGCGGAGUGCACAGUGGUCAUGUGCAGACAGGCCUUCGAGAUCCUCUUUGCCUCGGGGAGAAUGGGAAAGGGCGGUGUGAGGUAAUCUUUCUAGGACCCCUGCAUGCCAUCUUCUGUACUUCAUAGAGAAAGAUGUAUCAUUUCUUUAAGGAUUUACCUUGUAAUUUCCUUUCCGAAAUGUUAACUGGCCUUCUGAUGCAACAUAAUGGUCGAUAUAGGAUGGCUAUACAAAGGAGGUAAGUGGUGCAGAGGCAGUGCGUGUUCUUGUUGCUACGAGAGCGAAGCCUAAUCCUGACAGGAAUAGCACACUUGACAGAGCAUUCUACAAGAGCUUCUUGGAUGUGAGUUCACCAAGGCAUUAAUCUUGUUCUUCUGAAUCUAAAGUUCUUUUUGCUUAUUCCUUAACUCUAGACCAACAAAAUCUAAUGCAAUGGUAAUACAGGUCCUGAAUGACCCUCAACAGUCUGGGAGGUUUAAUUUUACCACUCAAUUUCCUCAUUACAAGGAAGUUCUUUACAGGCCAGACUUUGGAACCAAAGGACUGGGGAAGCCUGUUGUCUUUGAUAUGGAUAUGAGUGUUGGAGAUUUCCUGGCUUUAUUCUAUCUCCUUAAAGUGCCUGUAGAAGAGAUCAACGUCAAGGUAAGUGACUUCAAUUUUCCAACAAGCAUAUACAAUUAGCUCUGCUCGUCAAAACCAGCUCGGGAUCUAACCCGAUAAAGGACCAAGAUCAUUGAGUUGUUAGGUCAACCUGGUUCAAUCAUUUCUUAUCAAAAAGACAUUGUUUUGUUCUUUUAAAAAAUUCCUUAGCCAAUUGUUUUGUUUUGUUCUUUUAAAAAAAUUCCUUAGCCAAUUUAAACAAGUCAAUGUUGAAACCGAUUCAAAUUGAAACCAGCUAAGACCAGAUUAGGUUUGUCGAGUUAUUCUAUAGAAUUGUCUUCGAGUUACCCCGUAGAGUUAGAGUUGUGUUGGGUUUAAUAAUUAUACUUGCGACUACCAACACAUUGGUUCCAGUUGUACAAAACACAACUAUGGUGCCUUUUUCUGUUCUCUUUCCCUCCUCUCGCAAGCAGUGGGUCUAAUGUCAUAUCCUCUUGGUCAUUUCAUCCAGGGAAUCAUUGUAAGUCCAACAGGAUGGGCAAAUGCUGCAACGAUAGACAUUGUUUAUGAUUUUUUGCAUAUGAUGGGCCGUGAUGAUAUUCCAGUUGGUCUAGGAGAUGUAUUUGCAAUGAACCAGUCUGAUCCUGUUUUCUCUGCGGUUGGAGACUGCAAGUACCUUAAGGCCAUCCCUCACGGGAGUGGUGGACUUUUAGACUCGGACACUCUCUAUGGGCUUGCUCGUGAUUUACCGCGAAGCCCUAGAAGGUAUAAUUUCCCUCCAUAGAUCUUGAUGCCUUUUCUUUCCUCUUAUUUGAACCGUG
rnacentral:lncRNA from 1 species